rnacentral:lncRNA from 1 species
GCAGAGACAGUUUUUAAAAGCCAUCAACAAUUACACAAAGAUCACAAAAAUUGCAGCAGUGUUGAUGCAAACAGAGCAAGUGAGAUACGCACACCCUCGUCUUCAGAGCUCCGUCCGUCUGGUCCGUAUGGCUCUGGCUCUGCAGAGCACACAAGCACCGUAGUUACAGGUAAACACAGCCCCACGUUGGCAUCUGAUAUGCAUGUGAUACGCUCGCUCACACAUACUCACUCACACUCUCGCAUAUGCACGCACAGAAACUCAGAACACACAUAUACAUAAGGUUUCGGUAGUUGAGGUCUGAAAUGGACUGUACAAUCUGACGGAUCUCUCGCUCCCUCUCCUCCACCACCAGUGUGUUCUGCUCCACCAGCACCAGCUGGUCAUCCGUGAAACCCUGUCCCAUACAGAGUAGCAUCAUCUCCAUCAUCCAUUAGUGGUACCGGGGUGUCGAAGAAAUGCUGCGAUCUUUCCUCUCGGUUUUUCAUGCCUAGCAG